AUUGAACGCUGGCGGCAGGCCUAACACAUGCAAGUCGAACGGUAACAGGAAGAAGCUUGCUUCUUUGCUGACGAGUGGCGGACGGGUGAGUAAUGUCUGGGAAACUGCCUGAUGGAGGGGGAUAACUACUGGAAACGGUAGCUAAUACCGCAUAACGUCGCAAGACCAAAAAGGGGGACCUUCGGGCCUCUUGCCAUCGGAUGUGCCCAGAUGGGAUUAGCUAGUAGGUGGGGUAACGGCUCACCUAGGCGACGAUCCCUGGCUGGUCUGAGAGGAUGACCAGCCACACUGGAACUGAGACACGGUCCAGACUCCUACGGGAGGCAGCAGUGGGGAAUAUUGCACAAUGGGCGCAAGCCUGAUGCAGCCAUGCCGCGUGUAUGAAGAAGGCCUUCGGGUUGUAAAGUACUUUCAGCGGGGAGGAAGGGAGUAAAGUUAAUACCUUUGCUCAUUGACGUUACCCGCAGAAGAAGCACCGGCUAACUCCGUG
rnacentral:rRNA from 1 species